UCCCAAACUCUAAAUCCAUGCUACUUCCACUUCAUCCCUGAAAUGAUACGAUUCAUUAAUAACUGGAAAAUAAAAUUUAAUUAUUAAAAUUAAAAAAUGUCAAAAGAUGGUAAAGUGGAAGAAUAUAAAAUAAAAAUAGUUUGUCAAAAAAUAUGAUAAAUAUAAAGAAACACAGAAAAUAUAUACCUAACCAAAGGGAGACCCUUUGGCUAAAUAUAUAACAAGCUGAAUAAAUACUAAGAAUAUAAUUAAUAAUAUAAGUAACCAAAGUAUAAAAGUU
rnacentral:lncRNA from 1 species